AUUUAAGGGUUGGCAGUGGAGGUGAGGGAAUCUUACCUGGAUAUCUCUGUGCACAUGAGGCCUUCUGAAAGAAUUUUUUCCUUGUCUGGAUCCUGAAGUUUCAAGGCAGACAGACAUUCCAGAGGGGAGGAAAAAACAUUUUGUUGUUUCUCCACUUCUCCUUCCCCCACAGUGCCAGUUGUGCAGGUGAAUAGUGCUGCCUGUUCAGGUGCCUCAGCCCUUCAGGAUCUCAUUGAGAACCAAAGCAGGCUGUGCAAGUGCCACGUACAAAAUUCUGGAAGCGAGCUGGGAGGAGGAAUGGGAUGAAAGCCGUGUACCCUCCUCAGCAUCACACCCCACAAAGCACUGCUGUCUGGCCAUGCACUGCCACUCAUCUGAAGCAUCCUAUGCAACACCCAUGGCGUGCUGUGGUGCGUAGCAGCACAGGCCAUUAAGUCCAUAACAAAGCUCAACCAGCGACAGGGUUGGCAACGCUUCGGAAGUUUGUUUGCGUCAGAGCAGACUGAAAGGAGGCUGAUACUUGAAUGCAUUUCUGUGCUUCACAUGGGAAAAGCAGUGAGAAAUAGGUGGUGUCUGAUUUAAACCACCAUUUUCACCAUCCAAAUCUAUUUUUUAUUCCUGCCGCACAGUUUUAGCAAGAAAAGUGAGUGAAAAAUUGCUGUCAUAAAAGACUCAUCUGCUUCCCAUUACACUGACAUUUAAGGAUUGCACACACUGAAACGUUCCUAUGCGCCAGAGAGAGUGGCAGAGAAAACAGAAGGUUGAAAUUCACAACAAAUGGGGGAUUUUGUAAUUUGGCUGCCCUGGAGGUGGGCGAGGAGCCGGGCACUGAGAGCCAUGCCCCCUCCUGCGCCUCAGCCCUCCCACCUCCCUGCUGCUGUGUGCCAAGGGAUUCCAUUGUGGGCACACAGGAGAAGCCUUUCCCCCGGCCUUUGCCCUCUGCCUCCUCCAGAUGCAAAAAAGGCAAUGUUGGUGUUUUCAGAAGUCAGAGCUGUGCUCCACACAGGCAGAGCCCUGAAGGCGGGGAUCCAUGGCUCUGUUUGGUCUCUUUACUCCAAUGCAAUUGUUAACGUUCUUUGAAUUGGGAAAGUUCCUUCUGUGCAGAUUUCAGCCAACUGAUGUCUUUUGGUUCCUCACAAGUUGAAGAGCAGCAUUUCUGUGAGUGAGGUUUCUAAAAAUCCCAUCUGUCUCAGCAUUGAGCAGCAGGCAGGCAGCUCCGUGCUCCUGGUGUAGCUGGAUGGUGUGGAGUACAGGGGAUUCUCACCUUGCUGUGCCUUCGGGUGGCCCCACAAAGCCGUGGGCAGGACUGAGGACAGCAUAGUUCUGGCAGCACCUCACACCUGUGCUGGCGUUUGAGCCAAACAGUGCAGCUCCAGGCCUGAGGGUCCUGAUUGCAACAGAAUGGUUCCCAUUCAGAUCAACUUCUCAAAGGUUUCAGAUGUUAAAAUAUCUAAAGUCUAUUUCAAAAUUAAAAAAAAAAAACUAUAGUCAAAACACUGAGUUGUGAAAGCACAAAGAUGAGGGUCCUCAUUCUCCAGGUACCUCUUCUGCACAUUCAAUUUACAAGUCCAUAGCAGUCGCUGCUUUUUCUCUCUCUCUGUAGGGCUCCCCUCCCAGUCCUCUCCUUGUGUUUGCAGCUGUUUGCUCAGUCCCACAGAGCACUGCUGCCAGCGAUGGACCUGGGCUGGGCUGUGCAUGGCUUGGAGCUCCUGCUGCUGAGAGCAGAGACGUGCUUGCUCGCUUACUGUUACACCACUCCUCUCCCCAAACAGUAAAACUCAGUUUGAAAGUAAGCUGUAUGUUUUAUCUUCAGAGGGAAACUGUAAAAAGAGACACCAGUGGGUUUUAUUGGACUCAGCUUGUACUGUUUUUCACAAUCCUUUGAAAUCUGUAGCAUUUUUUCUAGCUUUGUGUCCAAACCUGGACUUUGCAUUUAGUGGUGACCCAUCCUGCAGCUGCAAAAGGAAUGUGUUUAUUGCUCUGUAGCAAAGAGCAAAAUAGCUAGAUGCUCAUAUUUGAAUAAAAGCAUUCCGCUCCUCUUAGAAAUAGAGCUGUGCUUUGGAUUUCCAGCUCCUUCCAGAGUUGGAAAUACCAGUGUUGGAGCACACUGCUGUAAGGAAGGGAAUUGCCUUCAGCUCUGCAGAAUGAGCUCUCCAACUUGCCUGGCCAGAUGGUGAAAAUCAAACAGGAAAAAUCACAUGGCAAAGGGUGUUAACAAAAAAAAAAUCCACUGUUUUUUAGUUAGGGGUGAGUACAGGUAACAAGUGGUGUGUAGGGAAGUGUUUAAACUGCGUGAGAGAUCAAGGGUCCUAAUUCUAAGUGUGGGAGCAAUAUUAGUAAAGCAAUGCAGCGUAUCCUGUUGUGGGAUGAGAGGUGCAGAUUUAGGUUAUUUUGGACUGGGAGAGGCAUUUGGUGAAGGAAGGCUACGUUCACCUCUUGCAGACCGUGUGCUUAGGAACCCCGCCGGUCUGCAGCUCGCUCUGAGGCUGGUCACAUUUUUUCAAAGAAGGCUGAAUUAAUUCAGAAACACAAAGAGAAUGGAAGUGGCUACAAAUGUGCCGCCUGUGCAUUUAGCACUGCCUCCAGCAUUUGGGUGUUAAUUCUUCUUUCCUCCACCCCCUCUGGCAGCUCAAGCUGUUGAAGUUUUAUUAAUAGUGAAAAAGCUUGGUUAAUUCUUUCAGCCUAACAGCUUCACAAAUUCUAAUCUGCUUUUUUUUUUUUUUUCCCCAGGCACAAUCAUUUUUUAAGUGCAGUGUAUGGGUUUAUGCUCACUUCCCCACCCGUUUCACAGCUUCUGAUCUCUAAAUGCUGGGAUUUUGAUAUUAAAUGUUAUUACCAGCCCUUGUUUUUACGGAUUUUUAGAAAGCUUCCAAAUGUUUGCUGCUCUGAUGUUUGCUGCAUUCAGAUCUACAGCCUCCUAGCUGCCUGCCACAAACUGCAUGCUUGCAAAUGGUAAUUAGAUGCACUAUUUUAUGAGCGACAUGAAUUCAAAUGAAUGUGCUUACACCAGCCCCCGAGCCACAGAGCAGCCCAGGGAUGCUGAUAGCAGUGAUCAAUCACAGCUGGGCUACAAGCCAGCAGCAGCUCAAGGCCCAGGUUCCCUGCACAGCUCCUGGCUCUGCAGAGCCCCCGGGAUUUUGAUCUGGGGUUGGAAUUCCUGUGCAGAAUGUGAAGAAAUUGCUCAUCUGGGGCCCUUUGGGUUCUUAUGUUCCCAAGUAAAACACUGUCCAAAUAUGGAGGUUUUAAAAACAGAUUUAACCAGGGAAGAGAUCUUCUGUUUUUCCUUUGUUUUUCCUUUAUUUUCCCUAAUCUGUCUCACAAACAAGAAGUUUGAGAUCGCGGACCUUAGGAAGAUGUGCUCAGUUCUGACAUCUCAGCAUGCUGUUCUUCCCCAGCUGGUUCUUUCAUCAGACUUUACUUCUGAAUGCUUUUCCCCUUUAAUUCUAGUGAGAUGUCUCAUGCAUGUACGUUAUAAUCUUCAGCAUUAAUUAAUUUGGGAAACUGUAAAAUAGCAGAAGCAUAGAAGGCAAUAGGAAGGAAAGUAAUAAAAACUGAUUGAUGACUAAAGCCAAGGAAACAGAACUGCAGCCUCCCUGCAGACAUGGCUAUUAAUGAGACUUCCUUCAUUUCUGCCUGAGUGGGGGUCAUUUCUCACACCCCACUGAUCGCUGGGAGUUUCUGUGCCUGGUCCCAGUUAGAGUCACAGGCAGAUACUGGUAAAUAUAGCACAAUAUUGUUAGAAGCAGGAAUUUCUGACAGGACGUAUGGAUGUGACCCACCAGAGAUCUUAAUGGUGUGUUCCUGGGGUGACCAAAGAAGGGAGGCAGCUUUGCUUUUGGCUGUUCAUGCAAACUGUAGCUCUGAGAUUGUGUUGCAUGGGUAGGAAAAACAAGGGAACGUUUUCCCAGUCCAGCAUAGUGGGGAAUGUUAAAUACACAGAACUGUGUGAGGGGAAGGUAACGAAGUAGGGAGGUCCUCUCUGCUCAAAGCAAUUGGACCAACAGUGUCUGUGAGGA